CAUAUCUAUAAAUAUGGGCUUUUCAACCAGAAACAUUAUAUUUUCAACUGGCAGAGAGCACAAGGAAUUCUCACUCAACCACGACGACAGGGAUCUGAGAUUGGGGGCUUAAGAGUUAAAAAAAAAGACUCUUUCAGAGCUCAAAAGUUGGAGAAGAUUGAGCAGAAGAAGAAGAAAAGAAAAUGCAAAGGCCCGUACACAUGCGGUCAGAUUGAUUCUUGAGACAUGUGUUACCCAAUGAUGAAUGGUUGGUGAUCCGCCUGAGGGGAGUCUGAAGACUCAGUACUAGCCCGCUGAUUCUUGAAAUUGAUGCACGCGCCGCAGCCAUCGGGGCCCUGAGUAUUUGUGCGGAGGCAAUUAUCGGGACGGAAGCCGUGACGUGAGUAAAUAUUGGCUGUGGCGAUGAGGAGCAGAAUGAUGAUAUGGGUGGCGAUGAACGUGUGGGGGACACUCAGCGCUUGGCUCUCCGCCUGCUUCUUGCUGGCUGAGGAGAUUGCUCAUUCUCUCGAUGGCCCUGAGGAACGGUACUGACUACCCGGGGCAAAAGGAGCACGAAGCCAUCUCUAAUGCUGUGAUCGUGUUUGUAUAGCUAGUCCCUUCUCGACCAUCGGGGGCAUAAUUUGUAAAUACACGAUAUAAUAUGCAAUCGACCAUCUCUUCCUAAUUAAGAGCA